AGCAGCUGCGCCACCGGCUCAGCCUCGCGGCGGGGGAAACCCGAGCUCCCAACAAAACGGUUCCAUCUUUGGCUAGGCCUUUGAUGUUAUGUGGUCAACAGGGACUGAGGCUCUUUAAGCCCUUAAAUCUCUAAGGGCUAAAUCUCCUUCCUGAUAUUCGCCCCCAAACCGGCACCAAAGAAGGCCCAGAGAGGUUUAACAACUUCCUCAGAAUCACACAGCUUCCAAAUGGUUGGGUUGGGUUUACAUUUAGGCGGUCUUGCUCCAGAGCCAGUGCUCCUAACCUUUGCAAGCCACGAACCUCAAGAAAGUGGAGAAGGAAACGCUGGGAAAUCUGGAAGUCAGACAUGGCAACCUAGUUUAUCUCCCGGGAGCUGACUUCAUUUCUAAACGUAUAGGGGUUUCUUAGAGGAGCUUCAGAAUACUAAUCAUCGCUAGUGAGGGCACUUGGACACUUUGCU
rnacentral:lncRNA from 1 species